rnacentral:misc_RNA from 1 species
GAGGACGUCAAGGCGCUGGCAACGCCUGAGGCCGAUGAGACCACAGGCGGCCUGACCACUGCGCACUGAGCGAUACGCGGAAUUGAUGAUAAAACGGCGCCUUCGGGCGCCGUUUUUUAUGUCCGAUGCCCUCAAAUGACGGCGAUGCCGGGUUGCGCCGAAGGUGUCCGCCCGGCUAAAACACGCGGGCAUCGUCGCUCGUUCGGCGAACAUUGAGGGCGGCUAGCUCAGCUGGUUAGAGCAUCUCGUUUACACCGAGAGGGUCGGCG